rnacentral:rRNA from 1 species
UACGUAGGUGGCAGGCGUUAUCCGGAUUUACUGGGUGUAAAGGGCGUGUAGGCGGGGAAGCAAGUCAGAUGUGAAAACCACGGGCUCAACCUGUGGCCUGCAUUUGAAACUGUUUUUCUUGAGUGCUGGAGAGGCAAUCGGAAUUCCGUGUGUAGCGGUGAAAUGCGUAGAUAUACGGAGGAACACCAGUGGCGAAGGCGGAUUGCUGGACAGUAACUGACGCUGAGGCGCGAAAGCGUGGGGAGCAAACAGG